GGUUGCAGCCUAUGUACCCUAAAGUAGCCAAAUCCUAUCUGAUCUUGGAAACCAAGCAGGGUCAGCCCUGGUUAGUAAUUGGAUGGGAGACUGCCAAUUAAUCCCAGGUGCUCUAGGCU
rnacentral:rRNA from 1 species